rnacentral:lncRNA from 1 species
GGGGGCUAAGGUGGUGCAAAGUGGAAUCCUAGUCUUAUUAGGAUUCAAUCUAUGACUUGUUCAAAUUUAGUUUCUCAAAUCAAAUCAAAUUAAAACUAAAUCAACCUAAUUAAAAUAAGUUUUAGCCUAAUUAAAAAUCUAAUUUAAUCAGAUUAAAUUAAAUUUAAAUCUGAUUUAAUUUUCUAAUCAAAUUAGAAAUUAGGUUGACCCAAG